GUCUGAUCUGGGACAAUCAGCGCGAGUUCCAGGUUUGAACCAAGGCCCAUUUGUGACCUUUGUUCUGACCAUUAAAGACUCUUAAAUAGGACAGUCCAGAUUUGCUUCUUUCAUCCUGAAUCAGGAAGCUCUACAGUAAGGGAUGAGGCAAAGAGAGUCCCUGAAAAUUUGUCUCCUUUGUCUACAGGGCUCAGGGUGAUCCUGGUCCCACUGAGCAUGUGGAGUGAAGAUUUCCUUCAGCCCAGCCUACGUGACACACCCACCCCUCUGCACCUGUCUACAUGUCUGCCCAGACCCUAAGUAAGCAUCAUCUGUGUUGGAGAUUGAGAGAAUCCAAUAAAGCAAACGGAGAUCAAAAUGACAGUGCUGAUACAAGCUGGCUUGGAGCCAAGGAAUGAUUCUCCAAGGAGACAAUAUGAGAGCACAGAGGAGCCAUGUGAAGAUCUGGAAGGAAAGAUAUGUCCAGGUGGCGGGAAGAGUGGUGUAGAGAACCUGUGACUGGAACAAGGGGUCUUAUCUGACAAACACUGAGAAGUGGAGGAGAGUGACUCAUGGGAUCCCUGAAGCCUGAUGAUAAUCAUCUCGAGAGGCUGUUUGGAAUCAUGGAAAGCUGCUCCAGGUUUACAAGAGCCAAGCGCCAAGCCACAAGCACUAGUAGUGUCCACUGCAGGAACAGGGGGCGGGGGCAGGAAAAGAGCACCCUUCUACGGUGACUUCACAGAGACUGCUGAAAUCUGAGGGUGGAGAAGACAUACAGGAAAAGUUACUCUGGUGCCCGA
ensembl:lncRNA